rnacentral:rRNA from 1 species
CGGACGGGUGAGUAACGCGUGGGUAACCUACCCUGUACACACGGAUAACAUACCGAAAGGUAUGCUAAUACGGGAUAAUAUAUUUGAGAGGCAUCUCUUGGAUAUCAAAGGUGAGCCAGUACAGGAUGGACCCGCGUCUGAUUAGCUAGUUGGUAAGGUAACGGCUUACCAAGGCGACGAUCAGUAGCCGACCUGAGAGGGUGAUCGGCCACAUUGGAACUGAGACAUGGUCCAA